rnacentral:rRNA from 1 species
CCUACGGGGGGCAGCAGUGGGGAAUAUUGGACAAUGGGGGGAACCCUGAUCCAGCCAUGCCGCGUGUGUGAAGAAGGCCCUCGGGUUGUAAAGCACUUUCAGUGAGGAAGAACGCCUGGUGGUUAAUACCCAUCAGGAAAGACAUCACUCACAGAAGAAGCACCGGCUAACUCCGUGCCAGCAGCCGCGGUAAUACGGAGGGUGCGAGCGUUAAUCGGAAUUACUGGGCGUAAAGCGCGCGUAGGUGGCUUGAUAAGCCGGUUGUGAAAGCCCCGGGCUCAACCUGGGAACGGCAUCCGGAACUGUCAAGCUAGAGUGCAGGAGAGGAAGGUAGAAUUCCCGGUGUAGCGGUGAAAUGCGUAGAGAUCGGGAAGAAUACCAGUGGCGAAGGCGGCCUUCUGGACUGACACUGACACUGAGGUGCGAAAGCGUGGGUAGCAAACAGGAUUAGAUACCCCAGUAGUC